CAAGGCCCCUCGUAUGGCGCUCAUCCUGUGAACUCCCCCAGGGCCGGAAGGCAGCAAGGGUAAGCGGGCUCUGGCGGGUAUACGAGGGGUCCCCUCU
rnacentral:SRP_RNA from 1 species